CUCUUCAUCAUGCAGCCAAACCAAAACACCUAGAUACUUGCCUCCAGUCCCAGCUAGUUAUCGUUCUAAUUAGAUCACCUGGUAGAUAUCAUAGGGGCGGUGAGGGGUGUGCCGCCCCGCUAGUUUCCCUGGUAACCAACAAGAAGACCGGAAGUCAGUUCCCCCAGGAACUGGUAACCUCCCCCUCUCCCAUCACGAAGGCUGCCGCCAUCCUCUGCUGCCUCUGCCGCCUGCCAUCUGCACCGCAGGUGGAGGGAUGUCGCUCCAGGACCUUGCUUCAGAUACGUAAGCGCCCCCAUCCAUUAGAUCCUCAGGCCACGGACCAGUACUGGUCCAGGACCUGGUAGGAACUGGGGCACUGCACAGGAGGUUUGGAGGUAAAGUCUGGAGAAGGUGAUGGCACCCCGCUCCAGUACUCCUGCCUGGAAAAUCCCAUGGACAGAGGAGCCUGGUAGGCUGCAGUCCAUGGGGCUGCGAAGAGUUGGACACAACUGAGCAACUUCCUUUGGAGGCUCAAGUUUGGUUUCCAGAUAAAGGAGUUUAUUUUACUCCUGCUUGCCUUGAGGCCAGCUGCUUCACAAUGCUUAUUAAUGAGCAUAAUGACAGAGGAACAGAGAAAAAGAAUAGGCCAAACGUGAGAAAAAACAGAGUUCAUCAGAACCAGAAUUUCAUGGAUUCUUUAUUGUGGAGGAGAAGGCUGAGAAAAAUCCAAGUGAGGCCAUUUAAAGCUGAUUUUGAGGACCCAAGAUAUGUUGAAGGGAGAAGCCAGGAAAGGAUGCCACUGGAUACCAACCUGGGGCUGCCUGUUCGGAAUCAGAGGAGGCUUGAUGGUCCAAAUGAAGGGAGAGUAAGGCAAUUGUCUGGACUCUGCAUGUGUAUAUAAUCAGCAAAUAAAAGAUUUUC
ensembl:lncRNA